GGCUCGACCAAUCCUCACACCUCUGCUUCCCAAGUAGCUAGGACUACAGGUGCGUACCACCAUGCCUAGCUAAUUUUUAAAUGUUUUUGUAGAGAUAGAGUCUUGCUGUGUUGCUCAGGCUGGUCUCACUCCCCUGGCCUGCCCGUGAUCCUCUUCCACCUCCUCAAGCAUUGGGAUUACAGGUGUGUGCCCCUGAAACAGCCAGGUGGAAGGGUUUCGCGGAGAAUUUCCCACCCGCCUGCCCACUGAGGUGUAGCCUCAGGAAGUUCAGCAGCGAGGAGUCUGGCCCCUCCUCUUCCUGUGUGGAACCUGGGAUUGCAAAGGCCAGCGGGAAGCCUCUAGCAGGUGGCUCUGGCCUGGCAGCGGAUCCCUGUUUCCCCCACCUUUUUCCUCUUUUCACCCAAUAAAACCCUGAUUUAUUCACCCUUUAAACCGUCUCCAAGGGUAAAUUUUCCUGGCCAUGGGAUAGAAAAGAACCGUCUUAGCUGAACUAAGGAAAACUCCUGCAUCAUUAUUGGCGCACAACGUGGGAGCUCGAGAAGAGAUAAGAAAUACUGCCAAGGUUAAUGGUGGAGAGAAAAGGAGGUCCCUGUGAUAUUCCUUGGCUUCUCCCCUCGCUUUCAGGCCUGAAAACAACUAAUUCAGCAAAAGAAUGCAUCUGUCUGCUAAUUCACUCUGAAAAAGAAGUUGCAAGUUAAAAAAGGUCUUUUAUGCUGACUGACUGUGCCAGGAACUGCAUGGUAACCUCUGUGACCUGCACGUACACCUCCAGAUGUGUUCCUGGAACUAGAAAGUCUGAAGUAACUGGAAAACCUGGAGACAUUCUUCUGUUGUUCUCUAAUCUCGCCUUAAUGGGUAAGGCAACUGGACUUUGUAAUCAGCCUUGCUCAACUGAUAGGUCAACCUCAUGACUCCAUACCCUAUGACCCCCUCCCCGCUUGCAAAAACCACCCUGAACUGUAACUUCUGUAACUUUCCUGCCCACCCCAAACCUAUAAAACCAAUUCCUGUCCCACCACCCACUAACUCUUUUUUCGGACCCAGCCUGCCCACACCCAGGUGAAUAAAGAACCAUGUCGCUCAUACAAGGCUUGUUUGGGCGGGGGGUCUCUUCAUUCAGAGUGCAAUUUAACAUUUGAUGCUGAAACCUGAAUCAGGGGUAUUCCUAUGGGGAGACUAGCCCCCCGUCCCCAUUCUCCCUCUCUGAAGAGCCUUACCUGCGAUCUCCGUGCAUCAGACCAGCCUGACAACCCUUUUGCCACCUUCAGAUUGGGGUCCUCACUGAAAGUCAGACUGUCCAACUCAUGUGGCAACUCCCAGACCAAAUCCUUCCCAGAUCUCCUCAGCUUGGCAGCUGAAGACUGACCCUACCAGAACAUCUCAGAGGCCCCCUGGACCAUCACAGACGCCGAGCUUCAGGUAACUUUUAUGAUGGAGGUUAAGUCCAUCCCCUUCGUAAUCAAUAUGGAGGCCACUCAUUUCAUGCUGCCUUCUUUUCAUGACUCUGUCUCCUUGGCCAUUAUAACUGUUGUGGGAAUUGACGGCAAGCCUUCCAGGCCUCUCAACACUCCCCAAGUCUGGUGUCAAUUAGGCCAGCACUCCUUCCCACAUUCUUUUCUGAUCAUCCCCACUUGUCCAGUUCCCCUGUUAGGCCAAGAUAGCCUAGCAAAAUUGUCUGCCUCCUUAGCUAUUGCUGGGCUACAGCCAUACCUCUUUGCUACCUUCUUCCCUGAACCCAUACCUCACUCAAUGACUCCCCUCAUGUCCCCCUUCCUUAACCCUAGGGUGUGGGACACCACCUCCCCAUCCCUUGCUCACUCACCCCUUGUCAUCCCAUUGAAACAUAACCACCCUUACCCUGCCCCGUGCCGGUACCCUAUCCCACAGCGGGCUUUAAAGGCCUGUUUAAAACCCUAAAGCCUGUUAUCACUAGUCUAUUAUAACAUGGCCUUUUAAUUCCUACAAACUCUCCUGUCCAAAACCAGACAAAUCCUACAGACUAGCCUGAGACCUCCGCCACAUCAAUCAGAUUGUACUUCCCAUACACCUGCUUGUACCAAACCCCUAUACCCUCCUAUCUUCCACAACUCACAAUUCUGUUCUUAACCUCAAAAAUGCUUUUUCCUAAAGCCCAAAUUUCUUCUCCAUCCAUUACCUAUUUCAAUAUAAUCCUUCACCAGCAUACACCUGCUCUCCCUGCCUACCAUAUCCAGUUAAUUUUCCAACCCCCAUCCCCCUCCACUAAACAACAGCUUCUCUCCAUCCUAGGUUUUGUAGGAUACUUUCUCCUCUGAAUACUAGGUUUUGCCUUCCUUACCAAACACUUUAUAAACUUACAAAAGGAAACUUAGCUGACCCCAAAUCCUUCCCCUGUUCUUCCUUUUGUUUGCUGAAGAGGGCCUUAGAAACAGCCCCUACACUAGCACCCCCCAACUCCUCCCAACUUUUUUCCCUUCACAUGGCAGAAGUAAAAGGUUGUGCAGUUGGGGUUUUUACACAAGACCUGGGCCCACGGCCAGUCACCUUUUGUUGAAACAACUCAACCUCACAGUCCCAGGCUGACCGUCAUCUUUACACACCAUGGCCACUGUGGCUGUAACACUCUUAGAAUCCCUCAAAAUUACAGACUAUGCCCCACUUACCCUCUAGAGCUCUCACAACCUCCAAAGUUUAGUUUCCUCUUCACACCUUACACACAUACCCUCCCAUCGCCUCCUCCAACUCUAUUCACUAUUCAUUGAAACCCCCACAGUAAUGAUUGCUCUUGGACCUGACUUCAACCGGCCUCUCACUUAAUACCCAAACAAACCCUGAACCCCACGACUGUAUCUCCGCAAUCCACAUAGCACCCUCUCCACUUCCCCAUAUUUCUUUUUUUCCUAUUCCAGACCCAGACCACACAUGGUUUAUUGAUGGCAGUUCUUCAAAGCCCAGUUGGUUGGCCAAAUCUGCCUAUGCUGUUAUAUCUCGCUCAUCUAUUAUCAAGGCUGCCUCACUCCCCUGAUCCGCCACUUCUCAGCAAACUAAACUAAUCACCCUAACCCUUGCUGUUACUCUUGCCAAGGGACUACACGUUAAUAUUUACACUGAUUCUAAAUAUACCUUCCACAUCCUUCACCACCAUGCUGUUAAAUGUGGAGAAAGAGGUUUCUCAAACACAAGGGUCCUCUAUUACCAAAGCUCCCUUAAUAAAGGCUCUCCUUAAGGCCAUUCUCCUCCCAGCCAAGGCCGGAGUUAUCUGCUGCAGAGAACACCAAAAACUAUCAGAUCCCACUGCCCAAGGAAAUGCCUUAGCCAACAAAACAGCCAAAGAGCAGCAGAUACCUCAGUAUCUCCCCCAAAGGGCUGAUAGUUUUUCUUCUUACCUAUCUCCCCUACCUAUUUUCCCUCCAAAAAUUCAUUUUACCAGUGACUUCCUAGGCAAGGCAAAUGGUUCUUAGAACAUGGAAAGUUCCUUCUCUCUGAAUCACAAGCUCACUCUAGCCUCUCAUCGUUUCAUGAUCACUUCUAUGUACAAUAUAAGCCCCUGGCUAGUCUUUUAAAACCCCCUAUUUAUUUUCCAUCAUGGAAGUCCAUCCUUAAAACAACCACAUCUCAGUGUUCUAUCUGUCACUCUACUACUCCUCAGGGCUUUCUCUCAGAACUCCCUCCAACUUUUUCCUACACAUCAGACCCAUGAAUUUUACCAUACAUAAGAUUGACAAACUUCUAGUUUUGCCUAGGUAGGCAUUUACCCUAUCUCUCACUCCAUCCUUGGCUUCCCUCCCCUUGUUCAUCAGAUGCUUCUCCGGACCCCUCUACCUGCCUGCUCAUACCUAACCUUGUUACUAAAAGUGAAUGGUUACUCAUAGAGACCAAAGGCUUUCUCAUACACCAUGAAAACAAGACCUCUCCUUCCACACAAUUACCCUAUCAAAUCUCACUACAACUUUUAACAGCUGUGGCCCUUGCUGGUUCCCUUGGUAUUUGGGUCCAAAGCCCCAACCCUCUCAGAAAACUUUCUUACCUUUUCGGUUUACACAUCCAGUUCUGUGUAAGCCAAGGACUUUUUUUUCCCUCUGUGAUUCUUCUACUUACAUCUUCCUUCUUAUAAACUGGACAGUCACUUGUACCCUAGUUUUCUUUACUCCCAAAAUUCAGUUUAUCCAUGGAGACAAAAGCCUCCCUAUUCCUCUUGUGAUCCUGACACGACACAAGUGGGUCAUUCCAUUGAUCCCCUUACUUGUAGGGUAGGAACUACUGCUGAAUUCAGCACAGGCACAGCAGGCUUUACUGCUUCAGUUGUAAGUCCUUCCAUAGUCUCUCGAAUGAUUUCUCUGCUGGCAUUGCAGAAUUAAUCACUAUCCCUUCUUCAAGCCCAAGCAAAUUCCCUAGCUGCCAUUGUCCUCCAAAACCACAGAGGUCUUGAUUUACUGAUGGCUAAAAAAGGUCUUUGCCUAUUCCUAAAUGAAGAAUGUUGUUUUUAGGUAAACAAGUCUGGCCUGGUAUAUGAUGCCAUCAGUAGAUUAAAAGACAGAGCCCAGAAGCUCACUAAUCAGGCAGAUGGUUUUCUGGACCUGGCUGGACUGGCUGGAUACUCUAACUGGGUGCUGGGAUUACAGGCUUGAGCCACCGCGCCCAGCCUGGUUGCCCAUUUUUAUGAUUACUAUGCUAAAUAAGGGGUGGAUUAUUCAUGCCUCCCCUUUAUAGACCAUGUAGAGUAACUUCCUGACAUUGCCAUGGCCUUUGUAAACUGUUAUGGCACUGGUGGGAGUGUAGUAGUGAGGACAACUACAGGUCACUUUGCCUACAAGUCACCUCUUUUAAUCUACUGAUGGCAUCAUGUACCAGGCCAGACUUGUUUACAUAAAAACAACAUUCUUCAUUUAGGUAUAGGCAAAAAUAAGCCUGUAAUCCCAGGAUGGCUUCUUCCAAUCCUUAGUCCUCUGAUACCUAUCUUUCUCCUUCUCUUAUUUGGACCCCGUGAUUUCUGAUUAAUCUCUCAAAUCCUACAAAAUAGCAUACAAAUGAUAAGCAAUAUCAGUCAAUAUAACACAUGCAUCUUCUCACAACCCCACAGUAUCACCCCUUGCUCUGAGGUCCUCCUGCAGUCUGAAUUCAUUCCAGUUUUUAGGUUGCUGCACCACCCCUAAUCCUGCUCAAAGAAGCCCUGAGAAACACUGCCCCAUCACCCCUCUGUGCUGGCACUCCGAAUAUUCCACUGCCCUCUAGUCUUUGUUUUUCCUUUAUAUUAGUAAUAUAAAAAGACAGGAAUAUAAACUCUUUUAGGUUGACCAUGCCAAGGACUGCGCGGUAACCUCUGUGACCUGUACAUACUCCUCCAAAGGAGUUCCUGGAACUAGAAAGUCCGAAGUAACUGGCAAACCUAAAAAAGAGAAGAAUGACAAACCCCUGUGGUGCCUAAUUAACUUUGAGACAUUCUUCUAUUGUUUCUUGCCUCAACUGAUAAGGCAACUGGACUUUAUAACUGACCUUGCUCAACUGAUAGGUCAACCUCAUGACUCCAGACCCUACGACACCCUCCCAGCUUGCCAAAAACACCCUGAGCUGUAACUUCUGUAACUCUCCACUGCCUAUCCCAAACCUGUAAAACCAACUCCUAUCCCACUGCCCUCUGCUGACUCUUUUUUUUAGACUCAGCCUGCCUACACCUGGGUGAAUAAACAGCCAUGUUGCUCACACAAAGUCCGUUUGGGGGCUCUCUUCAUUCAGAGCACUUUUUAACACUCCACCCACCCCUUCCUCCCUCCUUUUCAGAGACAGAAUUUGGACUAGAUUGCACUGGCAUAGGAUACUCCUGUCACAGGCAUGAGAACCAGAGCAACUCCAUCUUGAAUAGGAGCUGGGUAAAAUGAUGUUGAGACCUACUGGGCUGCACAGAUGAUUAAGGCUUUCUAAGUCACAAGAUGAGAUAGGUGGUCUGCACAAGAUACAGGUCAUAAAGACCUUGCUGAUAAAACAGGUUGCAGUAAGGAAGCCAGCUAUAACCAAAACCAAGAUGGCCACGAGAGUGAUCUGUAGUUGUCCUCACUGCUACACUCCCACCAGUGCCAUAACAGUUUACAAAGGCCAUGGCAAUGUCAGGAAGUUACUCUAUAUGGUCUAUAAAGGGGAGGCAUGAAUAAUCCACCCCUUAUUUAGCGCAGUAAUUAUAAAAAUGGGCAACCAGGCCAGGCGCGGUGGCUCAAGUCUGUAAUUCCAGCAGUUUGGGAGGCCGAGGCAGGUGGAUCACAAGGUCAAGAAAUCGAGACCAUCCUGGUCAACAUGGUGA